CAGCCAAAUCUGAACCCACAAAACCAGUGUCUACCACAGCCAAGCCAAAACCUACAACCACACUUCCAACCACAACCACAGCCAAGCCACCACCCAUAGCCACACUCCCAGCCACAGCCAAGCCCAAAGCCCCAGCACAGGCACCCUUCAGCACAGCCAAGCCAAAACCUGCCAGCACGCUUCCAACAACAACCCCCACCAGGCCAAGACCCACAGCACCAGCAGCCCCCACAGCCAUGGCCAAGCCAAAACCCACUAUGCCAGCAGCCACCAGCACUGCAGCCAAGCCAAAGCCCACCACAACUAUGGCCAAGCCAAUACCCACCACACCAAAACCCACCCUAACAACCACCACCACUAAGCCAACAACCACCACUGCCACCAAGACAUCACCCACCCCCCUGAAACCCAACACAACCACCACCACUACCAAGCCAACACCCACCACACCAAAACCCAUCACAACCACCACCAAACCAAACCCCACCACAACCACCACCACCACCAAACCAAGACCCACCACACCAAAACCCACCACAACCACCUCUACAGCCAAACCAAAGCCAACCACAACUAUGGCCAAGCCAAUACUUACCACACCAAAAUCCACCCCAACUGUAGCUAAGCCAAAACUUGCCACAGCCAAACUAACGCCCACCACACCAACAUCUACCACCACUACAGCCAAGGCAACGCCUGCUGCUACAACACUAGCACCUGCCACAACAGCAAAGACACAACUGAAAACUGCCACAACCACAAAGCCAGAAGCAGAAAGACCUGAUCCUACUGAGGCAACCGGGAUCACUCUUUCCUUUGAGCCCACCCUAGACCCAGAUUACAAUAUAUCUCCAGAGGCAGACACUGGAGAGCCUUUUAGCUCCUUCACUACAGAGGAUCCAGCCUUAUUAGAAAGCAUGGGCACAGCCUUCAGCCCCAGAUCAGUCCCAGAAAUAAAGAAAGGUGUCAAAGAGCAUGGGAAAGAGAAAUCAGUCUUUCCCAGUCCGUCUCCAUCCCUCAGCCAAGCUGUUCCAGAGAUGAAGCUAGGUUUCAAUAGAGCUGAGCUCAUAACCCCCUCCAAGUCAGUGGUCCUCAGCCCUGAAGAGCCCACGUUCUUGCAUUUAACAUCAUCCUCCAAAGACAAAAAAGGGUCGAGCCCCCAUUUCCAGACAUCCCUCUCAGCAGGUGCCCUGGACACAGAAGAACUGGAGAC
ensembl:lncRNA